AGGACGAACGCUGGCGGCGUGCUUAACACAUGCAAGUCGAGCGGAAAGGCCCUUCGGGGUACUCGAGUGGCGCACGGGUGAGUAACACGUGACUAACCUACCCUUGAGUGGGGGAUAACCUAGGGAAACCUGGGCUAAUACCGCAUAAUACCCACGGGUCAAAGGAGCAAUUCGCUUAAGGAGGGGGUCGCGGCCGAUUAGUUAGUUGGCGGGGUAAUGGCCCACCAAGACGAUGAUCGGUAUCC
rnacentral:rRNA from 1 species